rnacentral:rRNA from 1 species
AACCUGCCUUUCAGAGGGGGACAACAGUUGAAACGACUGCUAAUACCGCAUAACACAUAGGUGUCGCAUGGCAUUUAUGUCAAAGAUUUAUCGCUGAAAGAUGGCCUCGCGUCUGAUUAGCUAGUUGGUGAGGUAACGGCUCACCAAGGCGACGAUCAGUAGCCGGACUGAGAGGUUGGCCGGCCACAUUGGGACUGAGAUACGGCCCAGACUCCUACGGAAGGCAGCAG